UAGAAUCCUAUAAUCAGAUAAUUGAUAUGAAAAUCCAUCCGAUGAUCAAGUUUCUUGUCUUUCUUCUACUCAUCGCUCUUAUGCCAAAAGGUUACACAAGUGAGAUUAAAGUGUCACCACAAAAUCAAAAGUGUUUUCUCACUAUUGGAUCUGAUGGAAAUGCAGUUGCCUGUUGCCCAACUACACACUGGUGUUACAAGAAUGCUAAUGGAUGUGAAAAUCAGUGCAAAGCUUAAUAAUAGCUCACAUUACUCUAUUAAGAAAUGACGUAAUAGUAAAAUAAUAUGAAUAAUAAAUAAAGCAAGUACUAUAUAAUUUAUUA